rnacentral:lncRNA from 1 species
CUUUUCUUUUCUUUUCUUUUCUUUUCUUUUCUUUUCUUUUCUUUUUCUUUUUCUUUUUCUUUCUUUCUUUUUUUUUUUUUGGUGUGUCUUUUUUUUUUUUUCCUUUUUUUUCUUAUUUUUUUUCUUUCUGUCUUUUUUUUUUCUUUCCUGCCUUUCUUUUUCCGAUCGCUCCCUUUCUGUGUGCCGGUGCCUGUGAUCCUGACCCCAGCGCCCAUCGCCGCGCCGCACGGCCGCAGCGCACUGCCGGCUUUUUCCCACGUUGCGUGUCCGGCAGAAAAGGGCUGGAGAUAAACUUCGCCUCCGCGCGAUUAGAGCGCGGCUUUUGGGGGGAAGAUCUAAUCGCGCAGGGGGCAGCGCUUAGCCAGAAAAGACGCUCUUUAAAAAAGAAAGAAAGAAAAAAUAGAGAGAGAUUUGAAGCAGCGAGCACCGCUGGAGCCGUCCCCGCAAGCCCUCUCCGCCCGCACCUUCGGGUUGCGGCGCAGCAACGCGGGGCUCCGGGCGAGGCGGGACCCUUUCAUCUCUCCGCUUUGUCUGUAUUUUUUUUUUUUUUUUUUUUUUUUUUUUUUUUUUACAUUAUGUCAACUCGGGAUGGAUAUUCGAAGCGCAGGAUUCCUAUUGAACGUGUCUUUGCUUUAAGAUUUCCCCCUGACCCUUGGGCUAAAGUCCUUGGUUGCUCAAUUAAACCCAGAUGAGAACAAUUAAUAACUAAGUAAUGACAAUAAGUUGGGAAUCACACGGAUGAACGCUCUAUGUGAAUAGGAAAACCUCACACAAAAGAGCAAAAAGGAUUUGUCGGCUCUUUUUAAGGGGGAAUUGGCUUUUCUUUUUUCUUGCCUCUGGCUUACCAGCAAAUAAAACUCACUUUUGUGUCUUUGUCGCCUUAAGGAUCUCAGUGGGCAGUUGGAAGUGAGAAUGGCUGUUUUCCUUUCAACUUGAGGGUGCUGGCGCCACGCAGCCCCAAGGAUAGAGAGCAGCCAAAGCAAAGUUUCCUAAUAACUCCCCGCCGCCCCCAGCCGCUCCGGUCCCCCCCCUCCCCGUGCAUAUCUGCACACACGCUCCCAGGGAGCCCCGGCGGACAGACGCGAGAAAACAGAGGGGCCCCGAGCGCCUACGUGGAGCGCGCACACACUGAUGCCACGCUUUCCACGGUGGGAAGGAAAUGAAGCGCGCAGUGGCCAGAGCCCGGCGGAACUAGUUUUCCACUCGUGAUGCUCAAAGUGGCAAAAAUAUUAUAGAAGAAAACUAUUGGAUUGUCAAGUUGUAUUAUAAAUACAAGACCUGGAUGCAAUGGACUCAUGCAUAAUCUUUCUGUGUAAGACAUUUGCCAUCUGCCUACCACUCCCAUCUUGAGUAGAGAAGGCUGCUGGAAGACACGAUACAGGCCUCAAAUAUGUCAAAGAUUCUUC